GUGCUUGCCUUGGCAGCGCAUAUACUAAGGUUGGAACAAUACAGAGAAGAUUAGCAUGGCCCUUGAGCAAGGAUAACACUCAAAUUCGUGAAGUGUUCUAUAUUAAA
rnacentral:snRNA from 1 species